rnacentral:rRNA from 1 species
UGGCGGCAUGCCUUACACAUGCAAGUCGAACGGCAGCGCGGGGCAACCUGGCGGCGAGUGGCGGACGGGUGAGUAAUAUAUCGGAACGUACCCUGGAGUGGGGGAUAACGUAGCGAAAGUUACGCUAAUACCGCAUACGAUCUAAGGAUGAAAGUGGGGGAUCGCAAGACCUCAUGCUCCUGGAGCGGCCGAUAUCUGAUUAGCUAGUUGGUAGGGUAAAAGCCUACCAAGGCAUCGAUCAGUAGCUGGUCUGAGAGGACGACCAGCCACACUGGAACUGAGACACGGUCCAGACUCCUACGGGAGGCAGCAGUGGGGAAUUUUGGACAAUGGGCGAAAGCCUGAUCCAGCAAUGCCGCGUGAGUGAAGAAGGCCUUCGGGUUGUAAAGCUCUUUUGUCAGGGAAGAAACGGUGAGAGCUAAUAUCUCUUGCUAAUGACGGUACCUGAAGAAUAAGCACCGGCUAACUACGUGCCAGCAGCCGCGGUAAUACGUAGGGUGCAAGCGUUAAUCGGAAUUACUGGGCGUAAAGCGUGCGCAGGCGGUUUUGUAAGUCUGUCGUGAAAUCCCCGGGCUCAACCUGGGAAUGGCGAUGGAGACUGCAAGGCUAGAGUUUGGCAGAGGGGGGUAGAAUUCCACGAGUAGCAGUGAAAUGCGUAGAUAUGAGGAGGAACACCGAUGGCGAAGGCAGCCCCCUGGGUCAAGACUGACGCUCAUGCACGAAAGCGU